AUGAUCAUUUUCCAUGUUAUUAAAUAUUCUUGGAGAAGAAUAUCAGUUACAUAAUCCUUUCAUUGAAUGAAUUUCACAUAAACUAACAAUUCCCGUCUAUUGGACAUCAGGCUGCUCCCAUUUUUUAGUAUUAUAAAUAACUCUAUAGUGAGCAUUCUUGCUCAUAAAGCUUUGACCACAUUUCUAAUUUUUUUCCCUGAGGGGGGAAAAGAAAACCGGAUUGUUGAGUCAAUGGAGUAUGUUUAAGGUCACUGUUUCCAGAAAGGUCUGGACUAACAUUCCUAUUAGACCAUUUCACAAAGUUUUCUGGGGGAAAAGCUGGAUUCCACAAUCCAUUUGAUUUCUUAAAGCUGAUCUACUUUACCAUCAAGUCAUGAACUAUCUAUUCUUUGAUGAGUCAGGUUACAAUUUUGUGUAUCUGGUGCUGUAGGCUGGUAAGUUAGCUGGUGACAAAUAUAACCGGUAUCUGCAAAAGGCCAUUCCCAACCCAGAAAUGGAAAUGACCUAAGCCUGGCACGGUCGAGCGCGCGGUGUAACGGGGGCCCUGAGAUGCCCCUGUCGGACGUGGCUGUGUGCGCAGCAUCCCUCCUGUGAGGUGCGGGGAGACGCCCUCGCUUUCCUUUCUGACUUCUAGAAACAAGGCUUGCUUGGCAAAGUCCCGGCUGCUUUAGGGUGGAGGGUAGCUCGUGACCCUCAGCUCUGUCGCACGCUGGCCCCCCGUGGGCAGCUUCAAAUCCCAGGUCCCAGCCUGGGCCCGCAACCUCUGCUGCCCCCUCACGUGACUGCCCUUAGGGGGUCCGGCUCCUCGGCCCCUUCCCAGGCCAACCCAGCUCUGAGCCCUGGGGCCGGGGUGCCUGGUGACGGGGCCGGCAGUUGGCUGCAGCCUGGGACACGUGAGCUGCAGUCCCGGGCCGAGCCGGCUGCUGGGGACGGCGGAGGGAGGCCCAGCUCUACCGAUCACCAGCUCAGGGGCUUGGGAGGAGACUCUUAAAAAAGUCAAGGCCACACAUCCACUUCAAUCGUCAGUGUCAUGAGACAAAACAGGCAUCAUCAGGUUCAACUGUGUUCUGGCACUGGCCUGAGCCCCGGGCCUCGACUCCGGCUGAUCCAGGCUUUAUCUAUAUUUGGUACAUGAUGUCAACCUAGAACAUCUUAUUCCUUCACGUU